UCCUACGGGAGGCAGCAGUGGGGAAUUUUGCGCAAUGGGCUAACGCCUGACGCAGCAACGCCGCGUGGAGGAUGAAGGUCUUUGGAUUGUAAACUCCUGUCGACCGGGAAAAAGCGACUCGACCUAACACGUCGG
rnacentral:rRNA from 1 species